AAUCUGGGGAGUUUUUGCAACUAUUUUUAGAGAAAUUGAAAUCAUAAACAUUUUAUAUUGAGUUCUAUUCAUUGUAUCACAGGCGAGGAGUUUGCUCAUCCCAAGUGAAGAACCCCAACAACCAACACCAACUGCAAAGUCUAAAGCCUAAACAACCAGUGGCAACAUCGACAACUGUAUCCUAGUCCAGACCACGGCAUAUAAGCUAACUCUUAAGAAAAUUUAAUCUUUUUUAGAAAAAGUUACUGAACAAAAGUUAUUUGACCUCCUUCCAUGGUUGUAAGUUAUGCGGAAGGGGGCAUAGAACCGGUUAGAAGAAAUUAGUUUUCAUGUUUUUUCUACUGCAAAUUUCACUUUUGGAAAUUAAAUUCAAAGGAUCUUUUAUGCAACAAAUGGUCCUUUUAAAUAGUAAGAGUGGAAAUGCAAUAAAUGGAUAAAUGAGUGGUCAUAAUAAAGUGAAAAGGUUGGAAUUGGUGGCGCUUGAUUCUUGGUUCUCUGUCUUUUAAUUUAUUACCUCCCAUAUGAAACUUUCUUUUGUUCAUAUAGCUAAAGUGAUAGUAAGAUGUAGUGAGGAAAUAUGUCACUAAAUAUUGAAAAUGUAUAUUGUCAGGGAAGCAAGUCAUUAGAAGGAUUUCGAGUAGUAUGAAGAAUAUUGGAAUUCAGUGAAAGCCAUAUCAGAUUGCUAAAUUGUAUUAUCUUGAGCGGCUGCAACAAAAUGCAUGAGAAGAUUUGGAGUUAUAAAGUGCCAAAUUCGUUACUGUGGAAGGGACACUAUGAUGCCACUGUUUUACUGGAAAUUCAGAUUCCAUAAUGGUUUUGGUAUGAGAAAGAAUUUUUAGAAAAUGAAAUGGUCAAGAGGGGAGAUGAAGAAGGGGUAAUAAAUAUUGAGAGGCCACACCAUCUGGAGGAUAUAAACGAAAUUAUAGUAUAUGCCCCUAUGUUUUUUAAAGCAGAUCGUGAGCUUGGGUUUAUUUGUAUCAUGAUGCCAAGGUAACCAACCAUUGGCAGCUCAACUCGUGUAGGCCAUAUCGAUCAUAAUGAAGUGCUAUAUUUCGUAAAGGAUGAGCUAUAUUUGGAUAAUGAUGAUGUAAUGAAUCAAAGUUAAAACCAGUGGUCACUAUAAUGUUUUUAACACUAAAGCUGAUGUAUGCCUGCAACAGAUGUGGCCAACGAAGUGCUCCUGAUCUUGUAGCUGCCACUUCUCCUGCUUCAAUGAACAAUUUUCAAUACAAGAAAAUCGACACGCUUCAUAACCAAGUCUCUUCAACCCAAUGGAACUUGGAGGUCAUGAGAAAGCAACAGAAUCAGUAGUGUGACAAUCUAGAAUAUGCGCUUUCUCUGUAAAAAGUUUUUAUUUUGGGGAGAUUGAGAUUGGAUCAUUGGCACAUAUUUAAUAUCUCAUUUUCUGUCAUUUUCAGUCGUGAUAGAUCAAAACACAGAAAACUUUAGCAUUUUAAAAUUAUAAGUGGGAUCCAUGAGGUCAGAUGCAGUUUGGGAAUUGGGAUGUAAUUUUCUUGGCUUAAUCUCAUCUGAAAUCAAACAUUAUUACACCACAUUGAGAUGCAUAACAUAUAGUAAUGUCUCUGUA